rnacentral:rRNA from 1 species
GACGAACCGAGCGAACGUUGUUCGGAAUCACUGGGCUUAAAGGGCGCGUGGGCGGGUGCUCAAGUCCGGGGUGAAAUCCUCCAGCUCAACUGGAGAACUGCCUCGGAUACUGGGCGUCUCGAGUGUGGUAGGGGUAUGCGGAACUAUCGGUGGAGCGGUGAAAUGCGUUGAUAUCGAUAGGAACUCCGGUGGCGAAGGCGGCACACUGGACCACAACUGACGCUGAGGCGCGAAAGCCAGGGGAGCAAACGGG